AGUAAGAAAAAUUGUUAAUGUUUCUCUUUACACAUUUUGUUCAGACUGUUUUACACCAAUCCAGUAGGUGGCGGUAAUUCCCCCAUUUCUGUUCUUAGCUUGUGGAAAGAAUAAGAAUCAGGGGAAAGUUACUUGAGAAAAUGGGUAAAAAAGAAGACAAGGAGCGAAAACGGAAGAAAACGGCGGUAACAUUGUCCCAAAAUAUUGGUGACUUGUUCAAAAAAAGGCCCAAAAUCGUAGAGAGAUAGACAAUAAAGGACAGCAACAUCAGAGACAGACAAUGGAGGGCAGCAACAGAGACAAUGGAACAAAGCAACAGACAACUGAGCUUACUUUGACCGAGAGUCAGUGAGCAGAAGGCGAAGAGGAGAAGGCAGAUGGCUGCAAUGCAGUACGGCUUCAUGUCUGAAUCUUUAGCCGGGUUCUCGAUCAGUGGAUGAAACCUCUGACUUCUCGUGCAGACAAUGAUCACCGUAUGAUCACUGGCCCAAUUUAUAACGGAGAGAAUCACAAGUGGGACUGCACCAUUUCCACGAACACACUUCUGACCACUGGGAAACAAGUGUCAUCACACUCUUUAGGGGAAAGAACCAUGAUGUGGUAGAACUUUCUGUACAACCCCUCCUCAUCUACACAUUGGCGACUGACGGAAACCACCUUUUAGCUGAUCAACCUGAAUUGCAAAAUAUCAAAAAGAAAUAUUCUUGUUAAAUCUGCAUGUAAGAUAUAUUGGCACAUUUUUGUAUAUAAAA